rnacentral:rRNA from 1 species
UACGUAGGGGGCUAGCGUUGUCCGGAAUUAUUGGGCGUAAAGAGCGUGUAGGCGGUUCGAUAAGUCUGCUGUAAAAGUCGGGGGCUCAACCCUCGAAGGCCGGUGGAUACUGUCGAGCUAGAGUACGGAAGAGGCGAGUGGAAUUCCUGGUGUAGCGGUGAAAUGCGCAGAUAUCAGGAGGAACACCAAUUGCGAAGGCAGCUCGCUGGGACGUAACUGACGCUGAGACGCGAAAGCGUGGGGAGCAAACAGG